rnacentral:rRNA from 1 species
CGAAGAGAGCCGUAACACAGGUGCUGCAUGGCUGUCGUCAGCUCGUGUCGUGAGAUGUUGGUUAAGUCCCGCAACGAGCGCAACCCUUGUCAUUAGUUGCUACAUUCAGUUGGGCACUCUAAUGAGACUGCCGGUGACAAGCCGGAGGAAGUGGGGAUGACGUCAAGUCCUCCAUGGCCCUUAUAGGUGGGGCUACACACGUCAUACAAUGGCUGGUACAAAGGGUUGCCAACCCGCGAAGGGGGAGACCAAUCCCAAUAAAGCCAGUCGUAGUCCGGAUCGUAGUCUGCAACUCGACUACGUGAAGUCGGAAUCGCUAGUAAUCGUGAAUCAGAAUGUCACGGUGGAAUACGUUCCCGGGCCUU